rnacentral:tRNA from 1 species
GGUAGGGUAGCCGAAUGCUUAGGCGGUGGGUUGUAGCCCCAUGGAUGGAGGUUAGAUUCCUUCUCCUAUC